rnacentral:rRNA from 1 species
GUGUCAGCAGCCGCGGUAAUACAGAGGGGGCGAGCGUUAUUCGGAAUUAUUGGGCGUAAAGGGCGCGUAGGCGGCCGAGCAAGUCCUGGGUGAAAUCCCUCGGCUCAACCGAGGAACUGCCUCGGAUACUGCUUGGCUUGAGGCCGGGAGAGGAUGGUGGAAUUCCCAGUGUAGCGGUGAAAUGCGUAGAUAUUGGGAGGAACACCGGUGGCGAAGGCGGCCAUCUGGACCGGUCCUGACGCUGAGGCGCGAAAGCGUGGGGAGCAAACAGGAUUAGAAACCCUUGUAGUCC